rnacentral:lncRNA from 1 species
CCACCAAAAUCCAAUAGUGAUAUCAGAGCUUAUCUUAAUCUAUAUAAUCAAAGGUUAAAAUAUUGUCUUGAUUCUGAUCUCAAGCAUGAGUUUUUGGUUUGGCUCAAGUUGGGUCAAGGGUUGAACCUGAUUGAACAUCUAAACCCUCGCAUGUCUUAAAGAUAUGUUUUAAAUAUAAAAUGCAUGAUGUAUGUAUAGAAUCUUUCUUAG